rnacentral:rRNA from 1 species
UGGGGAAUAUUGCACAAUGGGCGCAAGCCUGAUGCAGCAACGCCGCGUGAACGAUGAAGGUCUUCGGAUCGUAAAGUUCUGUUGCAGGGGAAGAUAAUGACGGUACCCUGUGAGGAAGCCCCGGCUAACUACGUGCCAGCAGCCGCGGUAAUACGUAGGUGGCGAGCGUUAUCCGGAUUUACUGGGUGUAAAGGGCGUGCAGGCGGGCUGAUAAGUCAGAUGUGAAAUCCCCGAGCUUAACUCGGGAACUGCAUCUGAUACUGUUGGUCUUGAGUGCUGGAGAGGAUAGUGGAAUUCCUAGUGUAGCGGUAAAAUGCGCAGAUAUUAGGAGGAACACCAGUGGCGAAGGCGGCUAUCUGGACAGUAACUGACGCUGAGGCGCGAAAGCGUGGGUAGCAAACAGG